AGCCCAAACCAGUUUUGUUUCGGCAAAACUGGGGUUGUAGGACCUCGACAUAGGAAGACAAGAUUAGGAGAACGGUCUGGAAAGGCCGGCCAUAGAACAUGACAGCUGUGUAUCCGAAAAUCUUCGUUGGACUUAGAGGUAUCCUGAGUAGCGCGGGACACGUGAAAUCCUGUGUGAAUCUGCGGGGCCCAUCCCGUAAGGCUAAAUACUCCCGAGAGACCGAUAGUGAACCAGUACCGUGAGGGAAAGGUGAAAAGAACCUCGAACAGAGGAGUGCAAUAGAUCCUGAACCCGUCUGCCUACAAGCGGUAGGAGCAGCCCUGUGCUGUGACUGCGUGCCUUUUGCAUAAUGAACCUACGAGUUACUUUCUCUGGCAAGGUUAAGUGAUGAAGAGUCACGUGAGCCGAAGCGAAAGCGAGUCUGAAUAGGGCGUUUUAGUCAGAGGGAGUAGACGCGAAACCAAGUGAUCUACCCUUGGUCAGGUUGAAGGUUGGGUAAAACCAACUGGAGGACCGCACCGGUAAGCGUUGAAAAGCUUUCGGAUGAACUGAGGGUAGGGGUGAAAGGCUAAUCAAACUUGGAGAUAGCUCGUACUCCCCGAAAUGCAUUUAGGUGCAGCCUGUGGAGUUUCUUACGUGAGGUAGAGCGACUGAUUGGAUGCGAGGCUUUCACCGGCUAUCAAGUCCAGACAAACUCCGAAUGCACGUUAAGUUAGAUCCACGGAGUGAGGGCAUGGGUGCUAAGGUCCAUGUCCGAGAGGAGAAGAAUCCAGACCAUCGGCUAAGGUCCCGAAAUAAUAGCUAAGUUGACCAAACGAAGUCAGAGUGCGAAGACAGCUAGGAUGUUGGCUUGGAAGCAGCCAUUCAUUUAAAGAGUGCGUAACAGCUCACUAGUCGAGUGCUUUGGCGUGGAUAAUAAUCGGGCAUAAGCUAUUUACCGAAGCUGUGGGAUGUGUAAACAUCGGUAGGGGAGCAUUCUAGCGGCGCUGAAGGUGAGAGGACAACUCUUGCUGGAGCUUCUAGAAAAGCAAAUGUAGGUAUAAGUAACGAUAAAGGAGGUGAGAAACCUCCUCGCCGAAAGACUAAGGUUUCCUGAUCAACGCUAAUCGGAUCAGGGUUAGUCGGGGCCUAAGGGGAAGCCGAACGGCGCACCCGAUGGAAGAACCGGUUAAUAUUCCGGUACUAAUUAUGUGAGCGAUGUGGAGACGGAGAUGUGACGGUCCUGCCACCUGACGGAAUAGGUGGUUGAAGGGUGUAGGAGUUGAUCUGAGUAGGCAAAUCCGCUCGGAGAUCCGAACCUGACAGUACUCUGAGUGCUUGCACAAGGAGAUAUGGACAACUGUAACGGUGCUCCCAAGAAAAUCCGCUAAGCAUAUUGCAUGAUUACCCGUACCACAAACCGACACAGGUGGUUGGGUUGAGUAUACUAAGGCGCUCGAGUGAUUCGCGGUUAAGGAACUAGGCAAAAUAGUCCUGUAACUUCGGAAUAAAGGACGCUCACAGUGAAGGCUGUGAGCCGCAGAGAAUAGGCCCAGGCGACUGUUUAACAAAAACACAUGGCUAUGCUAAAUCGAAAGAUACUGUAUAUAGCCUGACACCUGCCCGGUGCUGGAAGGUUAAGAGGAGAUGUCAUCGCAAGAGAAGCAUUGAAUUGAAGCCCCAGUAAACGGCGGCCGUAACUAUAACGGUCCUAAGGUAGCGAAAUUCCUUGUCGGGUAAGUUCCGACCUGCACGAAUGGUGUAACGAUCUGGGUACUGUCUCAACCGCGAGCUCGGUGAAAUUGUAGUAUCGGUGAAGAUGCCGAUUACCCGCAACGGGACGAAAAGACCCCGUGAACCUUUACUAUAGCUUUGCAUUGGAUUUGGGUAACAAAUGUGUAGGAUAGGCCGGAGACUGUGAAGCGGGUACGCCAGUAUUCGUGGAGUCGCCGUUGAAAUACGGCCCUUUUGUUAUUUGGGUUCUAACUCGCUGGAGCGAGGACAUUGCAUGGUGGGUAGUUUGACUGGGGUGGUCGCCUCCAAAAGCGUAACGGAGGCUUCU
rnacentral:rRNA from 1 species